CGGACGAGUGAGUAACGCGUGGGUAACCUACCCUGUACACACGGAUAACAUACCGAAAGGUAUGCUAAUACGGGAUAAUAUAUUUGAGAGGCAUCUCUUGAAUAUCAAAGGUGAGCCAGUACAGGAUGGACCCGCGUCUGAUUAGCUAGUUGGUAAGGUAACGGCUUACCAAGGCGACGAUCAGUAGCCGACCUGAGAGGGUGAUCGGCCACAUUGGAACUGAGACACGGUCCAA
rnacentral:rRNA from 1 species